rnacentral:sRNA from 1 species
CCGCGUAGUUAAACGUGUGGGAUGAGAACCUGCAGCAGGUUCGACUGAAUCGUGCAGCGAUUCAGGCUGAUGCGUCAGCAUCACCCGGAGGGCGAGGGCCGCCGGGCCGAGGCAAUCCUGCACGACCCACCC